rnacentral:lncRNA from 1 species
CAGAGCCGGACCUGAGGAGAGGCUCAAGAGGCCUCUGCCUCAGGCCCAGCAUAUUGGGGGGCCCAAAAUUAGUUGUAUAAUUUUUUUUUUUAUUUUUACGUUUUUUGUUUUAAAGCCCAACUGCAAAUAUUCUAAUCUACAUCAUCUCUCCACGGUUCCACGACGAGUCCACAAAAUUGCAGAUUCUCCUCGCUGCAAAAUUCGAUCGGCGACGGGCGUCGACAAAUCUGAAGUCACGCAUUCUCCGGUCUAUUUUCGAAAUCAUUGGUAAGUAAUUUAUUUUCCCCAAGAUCCGUCGGCAAUGAGAUGGAAUGGAAUGCUGCUUCUGUAAUGUUAUUAAUUCAAUUUUUUGUUUUGGGUGAGAUUCAAAAUGGGUAUUAAUUCGUUUUCUGUUAUUAUUUCAUUUUCUACGAGUAUCAAAAUCUGUCAUAUUCUAUGUUAAUGUCACCGACUCACCAAACUUGGAAGAUAUCUGAUUUAUUUGUGUAAAUCUAUUGGGUUGUUAUGUUGAUCUUUCACUCGAAUUGGUUUGUGGUGAAUGGUUUAAUUUCAACACAACCUCGAUCUAAGAUUCUGUCAGCCUUAUCUCCAUUAUCUUCUUGUGCAGGGUCUUCCUUGUUUAACUGUUUUUGGAUGAUUGAAAUUCUGAAAUUCAUCCAUUAAUGAUUAAUCUUG